AAUCACAAAAAAAUACAUGUUUCGGCCAUGUAAAUGGUUAAAAUUUAACCUUGUGAUUU
rnacentral:tRNA from 1 species